rnacentral:lncRNA from 1 species
AAAGGCAGAAAAAGAAGAACAAAAUAAUGCGGCAGUGACAGUGGUGAUGUCAUCGACACCGACCAUGGUUUUUGACAGUGGUGAUGUCAUCGACACCGACCAUGGUUGUUGACGAUCAUGAAGAGGAAAAAGGGACGGGAGACAACGUCGAUGGCAAUUAAUGGAGAUGCAUCUGCCGGUUAUUCAUUCCGGCUAGUUUUCGCCGCUUUCCGGCGGCAGGCGCGAUGGGUUGACGGGAAAAAGGGCGGGCUGGUGGGAUGGUGCGGCGGCGAGGUUGGUUGGCCGACGGAGUUGUUGCCGCUGUUGUGGUCUUAAUGCCGGCCAGAUCUGAUAUGUUGGUAGAUAGACGGCGACGGGAAAGGGAAAAAGGGGGCGGUCCGGCGCAGGGAAGGGGAAGAAAGGGGAUGAUCCAGUUAGUUUGUAGUUUUUUGGUCAGUUUCCGACGAGUUUUUGCCGAAAAAUUCAUAAACUAUGAAUCUUAUUAUAUUUUUUUAAUCACUCUUUCUUAACCUCCCUUCUUUUCGUCACUUUUCUCCUUUUUCCUCUCACUGAUUUCUUUUUGGUUAUGUGUGAAUGAAUAUAUUGUACUGCU